ensembl:lncRNA
AUGAUCCAUGAUCAGUACCUGAAGGGAGAUUUCUCUCUCACCAUCUCUGACGCUGAUUACAGUAUGAUGGGCACGUACACAUGUGAGUGCGGUAAUUCUGAACUCUGUGAUGUGCGGCUUCAGGUUGAGGAAACACCAGAGGCAGGGAACAAUAUUUCUGGCAGCAGUCAUACUAAAGGAACGUCCCACGUGUAUGUGUCAGCUGUUCCUCUAGUGAAGGUGAAGCUUCAUGACUCUGCUACUCUGCCCUGCUCUGAGACAUGUUCUGGUUUGGUCAGAUGGACUGAGUUCCAUAAUCCCACUGAUGUUCUGGCUGAGUGUGAUCAGACUUCAUGUAGAUCAGUGAAGGAGGGAUAUCAGAUGAUCCAUGAUCAGUACCUGAAGGGAGAUCUCUCUCUCACCAUCACUGACGCUGAUUACAGUAUGAUGGGCACGUACACAUGUGAGUGCGGUAAUUCUGAACUCUGUGAUGUGCGGCUUCAGGUUGAGGAAACACCAGAGGCAGGGAACAAUAUUUCUGGCAGCAGUCAUACUAAAGGAACGUCCCACGUGUAUGUGUCAGCUGUUCCUCUAGUGAGGGUGAAGCUUCAUGACUCUGCUACUCUGCCCUGCUCUGAGACAUGUUCUGGUUUGGUCAGAUGGACUGAGUUCCAUAAUCCCACUGAUGUUCUGGCUGAGUGUGAUCAGACCUCAUGUAGAUCAGUGAAGGAGGGAUAUCAGAUGAUCCAUGAUCAGUACCUGAAGGGAGAUUUCUCUCUCACCAUCACUGACGCUGAUUACAGUAUGAUGGGCACGUACACAUGUGAGUGCGGUAAUUCUGAACUCUGUGAUGUGCGGCUUCAGGUUGAGGAAACACCAGAGGCAGGGAACAAUAUUUCUGGCAGCAGUCAUACUAAAGGAACGUCCCACGGUAAGAUCUGUCCAGUUACAAAACACUAGCAGGGCCAGUUCUAGCAUUUUUGGGAGGCCUAGGCAGGUUUUUUUUUUUUUUUUGUGGGGGGGGGGGGGCGGGGGUAUCUUGCUUGCUGAUGCACUGUAAAAGUGGAAGCUAACUCAUAACAACGAUUACCACCAGCUGUGUAAAUUACGUACAUUUGUAAGUAGCUAAUUGUGUAAUUCUGAUUACUGGAUGCUAGUUUGGGGUUUUAAUAUGUUACCAUUUAAAUUACAGCUAACCUUCUAAAGAUUUAGAGCCAGUAAUUCUCAGUCUGUAAACAGUUUUACAGCCCAUCUUGUUUGCUGAACUGUAUUCUAAUCGUGUUGUUGUCCACUUGCUCAGGAUCAGUACAGCAGGUUGGGAAUCUGGUGUGGUUCUGUGGCCACUUUUCUUCAGUAUCUGAUUAAACGGACCUAAUUUCAAAUACUAUCUCAUAAAAGUCAUCUAACGUGUCAGUUUUAUGUUUUUCAUUGUACUAAAGUGGAAACUUAGUAACCUAAUAAUUACCUGCAGCGUAAAGACACUUCAAAU